rnacentral:rRNA from 1 species
GACGAACGCUGGCGGCGUGCUUAACACAUGCAAGUCGAACGGAAAGGCCCUGCUUUUGUGGGGUGCUCGAGUGGCGAACGGGUGAGUAACACGUGAGUAACCUGCCCUUGACUUUGGGAUAACUUCAGGAAACUGGGGCUAAUAUAGGAUAGGAGCUCAUGCUGCAUGGUGGGGGUUGGAAAGUUUCGGCGGUUGGGGAUGGACUCGCGGCUUAUCAGCUUGUUGGUGGGGGAGUGGCUGACCAAGGCUGUGACGGGUAGGCGGCCUGAGAGGGUGACCGGCGACCUUGGUCCUGCGGUACGGCCCAGUCUCCUACGGGGGGCAGCGGGCGGGAAUCUUGCACAAUGGGCGGGAGCCUGAUGCAGCAACGCCGCGUGCGUGAUGACGGCCUUCGGGUUGUAAACCGCUUUCGCCUGUGACGAAGCGUGAGUGACGGUAAUGAGUAAAGAAGCACCGGCUAACUACGUG